rnacentral:rRNA from 1 species
AAUGGGUGAGUAACACGUACUCAACGUACCUUUUAGAUUGGGAUAGCGGAUGGAAACAUCCGAUAAUACCGAAUACUUAUUAUUUUUGCAUGAAAGUAAUAUAAAAGGAAGCGUUUGCUUCGCUAAAAGAUCGGAGUGCGCAACAUUAGCUAGUUGGUGAGGUAACGGCCCACCAAGGCGAUGAUGUUUAGCGGGGUUGAGAGAUUGAUCCGCCACACUGGGACUGAGAUACGGCCCAGACUCCUACGGGAGGCAGCAGUAGGGAAUAUUCCACAAUGGACGAAAGUCUGAUGGAGCGACACAGCGUGCAGGAUGAAGGCCCUAUGGGUUGUAAACUGCUGUGGUUAGGGAAGAAAAAGUAGCAUAGGAAAUGAUGCUACCUUGACGGUACCUGAUUAGAAAGCAACGGCUAACUAUGUGCCAGCAGCCGCGGUAAUACAUAGGUUGCAAGCGUUAUCCGAAAUUAUUGGGCGUAAAGCGUCUGUAGGUUGUUUGUUAAGUCUGGCGUUAAAUUUUGGGGCUCAACCCCAAAACGCGUUGGAUACUGGCAGACUAGAGUUAUGUAGAGGUUAGCGGAAUUCCUUGUGAAGCGGUGAAAUGCGUAGAUAUAAGGAAGAACAUCAAUAUGGCGAAGGCAGCUAACUGGGCAUACACUGACACUGAGAGACGAAAGCGUGGGGAGCAAACAGGAUUAGAUACCCUGGUAGUCCACGCCCUAAACGAUGAUCAUUAGUUGAUGGGGAACUCAUCGACGCAGCUAACGCAUUAAAUGAUCCGCCUGAGUAGUACGUUCGCAAGAAUAAAACUUAAAGGAAUUGACGGGGAUCCGCACAAGCGGUGGAGCAUGUGGUUUAAUUUGAAGAUACGCGUAGAACCUUACCCACUCUUGACAUCUUCUGCAAAGCUAUGGAGACAUAGUGGAGGUUAACAGAAUGACAGAUGGUGCA